GGACGGCCGUGCCCGCCGCAGAGAACGUCGAACGUCCUCCCUGUCGACGACGACGACGAGGAAAAUGCCGUUGGAAUGCCCGCUUCCCGUUGUUCCUCCACCGAUACAGACGUGUUACGUGCGAAAUUGUUGGCCGCUUUCGACACUGGAGGUGUUUCGUGGAGGAGAGAUAAAAAAAAAAGGAGGGAGGGAGGGAGGGAGGAGGAGGGAGAGGUUCUUUCUUUCGUGGUACGUAUUGGAACGAGAUCACUGCUUAUCAAACAACGCGAUUGUAUUUUCAAUUUUUAAUCUUACUAAUGGGUAAAACUGUCGAUAACAUUUACAUAGGUAAUAUUUACAUCCUUUUCAAUAGCGAGAGAUAAUUGUGGACGUUUGGGAGUUGGAAUUAUUGUUAGAGAUGAGGAACGAGAAUGUUGAGAAAAUUUUGCAGAUGGUAGAUCCAGUAUUUUUAAUUCUUCUAAUUUCAAAUUAGAAGAAAAGGAAAAGAUCUCAAAUUAUUCUCGAUCAUUAUUCGCAAAAUAUUUCAAUUAUUUGAGGAUGAAGUAAGAUGAAUAAGUAAAAGAAACACAGUCAUCGUUUCUAAUAGUGAUCACGAGAUAGGGGGGCUUUAGGUAUCGUCGCGCGAUUCCGGAACGAACACCAGGAACGCGGCGAAUAUCGAGUGUAAAAGUUCCUGCAAUGGGAGGAUUUUCAUUCGAACGCUUCCAGCGGGCGCAAGAAUUAAACAAGAUUUUUUCCCGUGCAACGUUUAUUAAAAUCCUGCCGAGCAUGGAGAUUCGUCCAAUUGAUUAUCGAAUUAAUGAUUUGAAAUCGAAUUUAAAAAUGCAAUCAAGUUUCGACGUUUCGACGUUUCGUGCAGUGUAAAAUGUGUCGAAUUGAGACGGAUGCAGAAUUGGCGGACGGAGGCCACUCAACCCUGUCAGUAUCAGGCCGAUGAGGAACCAGAAACCAUCAAUAACCGGCGGAACCGGUGCCCAGCUUAACUCUAACGAAGGACGAUUUCUAACGAUCCCCCGGCUACGUCCAACUUCUGGACGUAAUUAAUUCCCCGGCUAACCCGGAAUGCUAUAAUUAAUUGCCGGUGGCUGAUGAGGGGUAGAAGGGUGGCUGCAACAAUAUGUACCCGGUUCGAUUAGAAGCACGGACCUCCGUGCAGUUAUGCAAUUAAUUAAAUUCAGUUUGUUAUGCGCGACCGAUUGUUAAUUACCGGUCGAAGUUAGAGAAACCGGUAUGGCCCCGCUCGAGAUUGCCUUGUAUCUAUGAAAGACUCCGUCGUUUCGUUGUUUUCGACGCGAAACAAACGAUAAUUACCCAAGUCGUCGAACUUGACAAACUUGAAAUUGUUUGAUUUAUCAUUCGUUUGAAAGAAAAGUCAAGUUUUAGAUUUUCUUUCUUCUUGUUUGAUUUUGAAAGUUUGAUUUUUUAUGAGGUUUGUAACUUUGAAUGGAUUUGUUUCGAACGAACAAGGUGAGUGACAAGGUUAAUCGUAUUAAUUUCAAGGAAUAAUAAUGAUUUUUUAACGAUUCGUAUUUUUAUUAUAAUUACAUAUAAUUCGUGGAAAGAUACAGAUAAGUCUUGUCAGAUUUGAGAUGGUUAAAUUCGUUUAUACAUAAAUCUUUUGAAGAACAGAUUCAGGUGGAAUCGGAUAAUUUAUAGAAGUUUAGAUUAUUUGGUAUAAUUAAUUAUUUAUUACUUAAUAAGUGGAUUUUUUAUAACAGAUACUUGUAUAAAUAGAUUAAUAUUGCAUCUUUGUUGUAAUAAAUUCAUAUAAUUGCACUUGCUAUUAAUCUAAAUAAUAGGAAUAUAAUUAGAGUUCACUUGGAUUUUGUUCCAACAAAUGAAAUUAAGUGUACUUGAUUUUUGAACACC